CCUACGAGUGGCAGCAGUGGGGAAUAUUGGGCAAUGGGCGCAAGCCUGACCCAGCAACGCCGCGUGAAGGAAGAAGGCUUUCGGGUUGGAAACUUCUUUUGACAGGGAAGAGUAGAAGACGGUACCUGUCGAAUAAGCCACGGCUAACUACGUGCCAGCAGCCGCGGUAAUACGUAGGUGGCAAGCGUUGUCCGGAUUUACUGGGUGGAAAGGGCGUGUAGCCGGGUUGACAAGUCAGAUGUGAAAUCCUGCGGCUUAACCGCCGAACUGCAUUUGACACUGUUGAUCUUGAGUACUGGAGAGGCAGACGGAAUUCCUAGUGUAGCGGUGAAAUGCGUAGAUAGUAGGAGGAACACCAGUGGCGAAGGCGGUCUGCUGGACAGCAACUGACGGUGAGGCGCGAAAGCGUGGGGAGCAAACAGGAGUAGAUACCCCUGUAGUC
rnacentral:rRNA from 1 species